rnacentral:ncRNA from 1 species
CUAGGGGAGCACACGCUGAAAAGCGGCUGAGAUGGCUCAACGAGCCGACCCUCACAACUUGACCCGGUUAAUGCCGGCGUAAGGAAGCAUA